UGCAAACGAAAACUUGUGCAUGUGUUGACGCUCGUGGAGUGUAGGUGGCUUGAAGUCUGACCUUCGCUAGAGAUUCCCUUCGUAUAACACUCGCUCAAACUUGUGACUCUAUUCUUCAUCAUUUUAAAAAGUUUUGAGAGGAAAUAUGAAGAAGAAAUCUGGAUUACCUUUUUCCUGAGUGUAGAAGAUCAAAUGCUUCGUUGAUCUGAUCAAACGGAAGAUUUUGUGUGACAAACUCAUCCAGAAGCAGUUUCUUUGAUUGAUAAUCCUUGACCAGCUUGGGCACACUGUCUCGCGAUUUCCAACCGCCAAAUGCAGUUCCUUUCCAAACGCGACCAGUUACCAGUUGGAAUGGACGAGUACUAAUCUCUUGCCCAGCCCCAGCUACUCCGACAAUGACAGACGUGCCCCAACCCUUG